GGGGCUGCGUGGGUGUCCUCCCUCGUGUCGUGAGAUGUUGGGUUAUGUCCCGCAACGAGCGCACCCCUUGUCCUUUUUUGCCCUCGUUCUGUUGGGGACUCUAGGGAGACCGCCGGGGACAAACCGGAGGAAGGUGGGGAUGACGUCAAGUCAUCAUGGCCCUUAUGGCCAGGGCUUCACACGUGCUACAAUGGUGUAUACAGAGGGUCGCCAAACCGCGAGGUGGAGCUAAUCCCUUAAAGUUCGUCUCAGUCCGGAUCGGAGUCUGCAACUCGACUCCGUGAAGUCGGAAUCGC
rnacentral:rRNA from 1 species